GGAGCACUCUAGAGAUAUUCAGGAACCGUUCUACUACUAUCAGGUACAAAACCCAAGUCCUUGUUAGGGAUGUAAACUACUUUGUUUCUGACUGUCUUCAGGUGCACAUGAUACAAAUUCUUCAAAGACCUCUGCUUAUAAAUCAAAUACAACUCAUCUGGGCCUGCUGAUUUAGAGUUCCUGCUUUUGCAAGCACAAUGCACGAUGCUAACGUACUUCCAUGAAGACAUGUCGCUUAUUUGGAAAGCCACAAGCAUAUUAAGGUCGCUGCUGCCACCAAGUGGUUUUUCAAUCUCAAGCCUAAUUUCUUCUGUCUGGAUUCAGUAGUGCUUCCCUCUUUUUGGAAUCCUACCUGCAAAAUUGCAUUCAUUUCUAAGAAUUUAAAGACUGUGCCUGUAGUGCUGUCAGUCCAUCCCUUCUGCCAGGGGUUUCCUGGACUAUCACAGGAGUCAUAGCUGCCUGUUAGCACAUGGUUCUAAUCCUGAAGUUCCUUCUAGCACUGACAAUAGGAUUUCAAUAAAAGGUGACAAUUCUUACUCCAGGCUACUAUUAUGCAUAUAAAUGAAAAUUCAUUCUUAAUCCUUUUAAGUUCUGGAAAAUACUUUUUGGCUAGAAUUACUCUAAUAAAUACACCCAACACACAAAAUUAAUCCAUCAUAUACAUAAAUGGAUAAAAUAUACUAAAAAAACAGGCAAAUGCUCUGGAAAUAAUACAACCACUUGAAAACAUCAGUUAAUAGGAGGAAAAAAAUCACUAUUAUAAUGUUCUUCAAACAAGUGAAGUCCUUCAUACGCAAACUACAAUCUAUCAAGAAUGAAAAAGCCUACCAAAAUAAUUGAUAGUCAUAUAUUGGUUGUUAAACAAAACAUUCCUAGGAUAUGUGCCCUUAUUAUGUGAUAUAAAAUACUCUGCAACAAUCAUCUGGACAUUUUGAUUCAUGACAUAUGCCAUGUUUGGAUAAAGGUACAUUUCUAAAAGUGUGCAGAGAUAAUCUGCAGAGUUUGUUUCCUAUUCCUAUUUGCAAAUGACACCAUCUCACCUGGUUUACAAAGGAAAGCAUCUACAGCUAUAACAGAUUUUAAACCAUAGUAAGGUUAUUUUACUAGUGAAGUGUUCAGCAGAAAUUACCAAAUUAUUUCUUCAUUUGGUGCAGCAGAAUGUAUGUUAACUUGUACAGAGUAUUAGCCAUCCUUUCCUUCAGGGAGCUUUCUAAAAUGAGCUUGCAUUUAUUUCAAGUAUGACAGAAGGAGCCAGAAUAGCUAUUUUUAGUGUGUGUCUGAGGUAUUAAAUACAGCUAUAAAAAUUCUCUCAUUCUUCAGAGUGUCAAAUUUACACUACUGAAGUGGUUUAAUGCUAAAGUUUUAGGGAAAGGUGCUGAAGAAAUUUCUAGGAAGAGAGGAGGUGGGUAGGUCAAAUUGCCUCAACUUAUUUUAAAUGUACUUCUCACUUUACUUCCCAAACCAUUUUUUGUUUUUUUUUUUAAGUUUGACAAGCAAUAGAAGGAAACAAACUGACUGUAUGUUAGAUAGUGGACUACCAACAUAUAGAUUUGUGGUUGCUUACAUGUAAAAUAGUUCAUAUUAUUCCUGGGGGAAUUCUGCACAUCUGCAGACAUGCACAAUUCUUCUGUGCCACAUAAUUUUGUAUUUUCCUGCAUAAAAUGCAUUUUGCCCCAGCAGUGCUGCAAUUCUGCCUUUUGCCCACUGGAGGCCGCUCUGACACCAGAACACCAGCUGCAUGAACACAGAUGGCCAUUCUAGUGCCACAAUGGCCUCUGGUUGGGGGGCAAAAGGCAGAACUGCAGCACUUCUGGGGCAAAAUGUAUUUUCUGAGGUGGGGGGGAAUCUAUGCCCAAUGCUGCAGAAUUGACCCAAGGAGCAGAAGUUCAUCAUAGCACCCUGUCCGCGGAGCCAGGUUCGGACAGAGUGGAGCACACAGGG